rnacentral:rRNA from 1 species
GCGAUACAGGGUGACAGCCCCGUACACAAAAAUGCACAUAUUGUGAGCUCGAUGAGUAGGGCGGGACACGUGGUAUCCUGUCUGAAUAUGGGGGGACCAUCCUCCAAGGCUAAAUACUCCUGACUGACCGAUAGUGAACCAGUACCGUGAGGGAAAGGCGAAAAGAACCCCGGCGAGGGGAGUGAAAAAGAACCUGAAACCGUGUACGUACAAGCAGUGGGAGCCUCUUUUAUGGGGUGACUGCGUACCUUUUGUAUAAUGGGUCAGCGACUUAUAUUCUGUAGCAAGGUUAACCGAAUAGGGGAGCCGAAGGGAAACCGAGUCUUAACUGGGCGUUAAGUUGCAGGGUAUAGACCCGAAACCCGGUGAUCUAGCCAUGGGCAGGUUGAAGGUUGGGUAACACUAACUGGAGGACCGAACCGACUAAUGUUGAAAAAUUAGCGGAUGACUUGUGGCUGGGGGUGAAAGGCCAAUCAAACCGGGAGAUAGCUGGUUCUCCCCGAAAGCUAUUUAGGUAGCGCCUCGUGAAUUCAUCUCCGGGGGUAGAGCACUGUUUCGGCAAGGGGGUCAUCCCGACUUACCAACCCGAUGCAAACUGCGAAUACCGGAGAAUGUUAUCACGGGAGACACACGGCGGGUGCUAACGUCCGUCGUGAAGAGGGAAACAACCCAGACCGCCAGCUAAGGUCCCAAAGUCAUGGUUAAGUGGGAAACGAUGUGGGAAGGCCCAGACAGCCAGGAUGUUGGCUUAGAAGCAGCCAUCAUUUAAAGAAAGCGUAAUAGCUCACUGGUCGAGUCGGCCUGCGCGGAAGAUGUAACGGGGCUAAACCAUGCACCGAAGCUGCGGCAGCGACGCUUAUGCGUUGUUGGGUAGGGGAGCGUUCUGUAAGCCUGUGAAGGUGUGCUGUGAGGCAUGCUGGAGGUAUCAGAAGUGCGAAUGCUGACAUAAGUAACGAUAAAGCGGGUGAAAAGCCCGCUCGCCGGAAGACCAAGGGUUCCUGUCCAACGUUAAUCGGGGCAGGGUGAGUCGACCCCUAAGGCGAGGCCGAAAGGCGUAGUCGAUGGGAAACAGGUUAAUAUUCCUGUACUUGGUGUUACUGCGAAGGGGGGACGGAGAAGGCUAUGUUGGCCGGGCGACGGUUGUCCCGGUUUAAGCGUGUAGGCUGGUUUUCCAGGCAAAUCCGGAAAAUCAAGGCUGAGGCGUGAUGACGAGGCACUACGGUGCUGAAGCAACAAAUGCCCUGCUUCCAGGAAAAGCCUCUAAGCAUCAGGUAACAUCAAAUCGUACCCCAAACCGACACAGGUGGUCAGGUAGAGAAUACCAAGGCGCUUGAGAGAACUCGGGUGAAGGAACUAGGCAAAAUGGUGCCGUAACUUCGGGAGAAGGCACGCUGAUAUGUAGGUGAAGUCCCUUGCGGAUGGAGCUGAAAUCAGUCGAAGAUACCAGCUGGCUGCAACUGUUUAUUAAAAACACAGCACUGUGCAAACACGAAAGUGGACGUAUACGGUGUGACGCCUGCCCGGUGCCGGAAGGUUAAUUGAUGGGGUCAGCGCAAGCGAAGCUCUUGAUCGAAGCCCCGGUAAACGGCGGCCGUAACUAUAACGGUCCUAAGGUAGCGAAAUUCCUUGUCGGGUAAGUUCCGACCUGCACGAAUGGCGUAAUGAUGGCCAGGCUGUCUCCACCCGAGACUCAGUGAAAUUGAACUCGCUGUGAAGAUGCAGUGUACCCGCGGCAAGACGGAAAGACCCCGUGAACCUUUACUAUAGCUUGACACUGAACAUUGAGCCUUGAUGUGUAGGAUAGGUGGGAGGCUUAGAAGUGUGGACGCCAGUCUGCAUGGAGCCGACCUUGAAAUACCACCCUUUAAUGUUUGAUGUUCUAACGUUGACCCGUAAUCCGGGUUGCGGACAGUGUCUGGUGGGUAGUUUGACUGGGGCGGUCUCCUCCUAAAGAGUAACGGAGGAGCACGAAGGUUGGCUAAUCCUGGUCGGACAUCAGGAGGUUAGUGCAAUGGCAUAAGCCAGCUUGACUGCGAGCGUGACGGCGCGAGCAGGUGCGAAAGCAGGUCAUAGUGAUCCGGUGGUUCUGAAUGGAAGGGCCAUCGCUCAACGGAUAAAAGGUACUCCGGGGAUAACAGGCUGAUACCGCCCAAGAGUUCAUAUCGACGGCGGUGUUUGGCACCUCGAUGUCGGCUCAUCACAUCCUGGGGCUGAAGUAGGUCCCAAGGGUAUGGCUGUUCGCCAUUUAAAGUGGUACGCGAGCUGGGUUUAGAACGUCGUGAGACAGUUCGGUCCCUAUCUGCCGUGGGCGCUGGAGAACUGAGGGGGGCUGCUCCUAGUACGAGAGGACCGGAGUGGACGCAUCACUGGUGUUCGGGUUGUCAUGCCAAUGGCACUGCCCGGUAGCUAAAUGCGGAAGAGAUAAGUGCUGAAAGCAUCUAAGCACGAAACUUGCCCCGAGAUGAGUUCUCCCUGAC